AAAGUGGUGGGGGAGGGAAACACUGCAAGGUCCAGGACAGUAGUGCUGCUCAUGUUCUGAUUCAUGCUAAAUGGAGCCUUGUCAGAUUAUCUGCCUGGCUUCAGGGCAAGAAAGUAGCAAUGAAGUACUUACCGGGAGAAUGGAGGCUCUGAAACCCUCCUGCUUAGUACUGGUAAAUCUGUCAGGCUCAAAGAUUCUUGCUCAGUAGCAGAAUGCUUUGUACAGUUUUCAGACCGUGAAAUUCCAUGACUAGCAUCCAGCCCAUUCAGUGGUUUUAGUCUGUGAAGAUGCUGGAAGCAGGUCUGGCCUUCCCUCUCUUCAGGAGUUGGGUAUAACAAGUAAGUGUUUUUAUAGCAGCCAUCAAAUUUAUUUAGUAUUCAAAAAUGUUGAUCAAGCUCAAAGACUGACACAUAAUAAUACAUAUUUUUUAAACAGAAGUUAGCACGGAAAAAUGACAGUAUGCUCAGGCCAGACCUAGUAGAAAAUCAUCUUCUCCAGUUGAUUUUAUAUAGCAGGAAAAAGACACAUUUGCUAGGUUUUAACCAGGAUACCUCUAACCAACUGGAAAAAAUAGUUUUGGGCAUCUCUGGAUGCCUGCAUAUCCCUAGGGCUUAAAAAUGUGGAGCUGUAUCCAGAAAGUUCAGAAAAGCAUACUCUUCUCCUCAUCUCCCUUAUCCAUUUUCACCAUCAACAGGAAGACUACAUACAGCUGAUAAGAGCAGUCCUGGAGUCACUCAGAGGAAUAGCUGACACUGGAAACAGCAAACCGGCUCCACAGAAGGAUACAUAGCUGGGAUUUCUUGUGGACAAAAAUAGAGAUUUUUUUUCUACUAGAGAUUUAAGUAUUGACUACCAGAUACCACAAAAGUGCCAACCAGCUCUGAGAACUUAAGCUUGGUCAGCUAUUACAGGGACAGAUGUAAGCAACACCACCACUUACAGAAUGCAUGUGGCAGCAGAAGAUCACCUACAUGCCUGCCAGCAAAUAAUCCCAGCAGUUGAAGAUAUAUGCAACCAGUACAAAUUGUGCGAGACAUUUUCAAAUCAUUCAUAUUUGAACAAGAGUCACCUUGAUCGAAUAUGAAGUCAUGACCUUUUAGGGCUACAAAGGUUAUACUGGCAAAAGGAAAACAUGCAUAGCACCUAAUACAAUACUGAUGUAAGAAAGCUAUAUUAAGAAAGAAGCAGCAGCAUAAGAUAAUGCCUGUCAAGUAACAGUAACUGAUGCAGGAAUAUGUCUUAGUAUUGCAGAAGUGACUAAUAGCAUAGAAGUACUUUAAACAAUAAAGCAGGACUUAAUUUUCCAAUUAAAAAA